AAUUCCAAUCUCCCUAAGUUACAAAGGACAUUUUUAAAUUUGUAGAGUGUGUCAUCAAUACAUAGGACGCUAUAAACACCACCCAAAUUAUAUAUAUCAAAGCCUGAAGGAAAACUCAAUUGCUUUCACCUGCUGGUGAUAGUGAAAACUCUUAGAACUGCCAAUUUUCUCAAUCCAAUUAGCUCAUCAAACUAAAUCCUUACCACUUGUUAACAUAUUUUACAUAUUUGUUAUACUAACUUACAUGACAAGAAUGUUAAAAAAAAAACAAGACCAGAUGAAACAUGACCUCUAAAAAGUAUGUUCAGAACAGUAUAUUAUAUUGUGAGUUCCGAGUAUUUAACUCAAUGAUUAAGGGAACAUGCUUUUCAUUUUACAUACUGGUAUCAAAUAAUCAACAUAUGCU
rnacentral:lncRNA from 1 species